rnacentral:tRNA from 1 species
UGGGGUGUGGCCAAGUGGCAAGGCACGGGGUUUUGAUCCCCGGAUCCCAGGUUCGAAUCCUGGCACCCCAGCCA